UUUUAGGUGCUUGCACUUGAAAGAUUUAACAUUGAGACGAGUGGCGAACUGGUGAGUAACACGUGGGUAACCUGCCCUUGAAGUAGGGGAUAACACUUGGAAACAGGUGCUAAUACCGUAUAACAACCAAAACCACCUGGUUUUGGUUUAAAAGACGGCUUCGGCUGUCACUUUAGGAUGGACCCGCGGCGUAUUAGCUUGUUGGUAAGGUAACGGCUUACCAAGGCGAUGAUACGUAGCCGACCUGAGAGGGUAAUCGGCCACAUUGGGACUGAGACACGGCCCAAACUCCUACGGGAGGCAGCAGUAGGGAAUCUUCCACAAUGGACGAAAGUCUGAUGGAGCAACGCCGCGUGAGUGAUGAAGGGUUUCGGCUCGUAAAACUCUGUUGUUGGAGAAGAACAGGUGUCAGAGUAACUGUUGACAUCUUGACGGUAUCCAACCAGAAAGCCACGGCUAACUACGUGCCAGCAGCCGCGGUAAUACGUAGGUGGCAAGCGUUGUCCGGAUUUAUUGGGCGUAAAGCGAGCGCAGGCGGUUUUUUAGGUCUGAUGUGAAAGCCUUCGGCUUAACCGGAGAAGUGCAUCGGAAACCGGGAGACUUGAGUGCAGAAGAGGACAGUGGAACUCCAUGUGUAGCGGUGAAAUGCGUAGAUAUAUGGAAGAACACCAGUGGCGAAGGCGGCUGUCUGGUCUGUAACUGACGCUGAGGCUCGAAAGCAUGGGUAGCGAACAGGAUUAGAUACCCUGGUAGUCCAUGCCGUAAACGAUGAGUGCUAAGUGUUGGAGGGUUUCCGCCCUUCAGUGCUGCAGCUAACGCAUUAAGCACUCCGCCUGGGGAGUACGACCGCAAGGUUGAAACUCAAAGGAAUUGACGGGGGCCCGCACAAGCGGUGGAGCAUGUGGUUUAAUUCGAUGCUACGCGAAGAACCUUACCAGGUCUUGACAUCUUCUGCCAACCUAAGAGAUUAGGCGUUCCCUUCGGGGACAGAAUGACAGGUGGUGCAUGGUUGUCGUCAGCUCGUGUCGUGAAAAUGUUUGGGUUAAGUCCCGCAACGAGCGCAACCCUUUAUUGUUAGUUGCCAGCAUUCAGUUGGGCACUCUAACAAGACUGCCGGUGACAACCCGAAGAAAAGGUGGGGGAUAAACGU
rnacentral:rRNA from 1 species